AUUGAACGCUGGCGGCAGGCCUAACACAUGCAAGUCGAACGAGUGGCGGACGGGUGAGUAAUGGCUGGGAAACUGCCUGAUGGAGGGGGAUAACUACUGGAAACGGUAGCUAAUACCGCAUACCAUCGGAUGUGCCCAGAUGGGAUUAGCUAGUAGGUGGGGUAAAGGCUCACCUAGGCGACGAGCCCUAGCUGGUCUGAGAGGAUGACUGGCUACACUGUAACUGAGACACUGUCCAGGCUCCUCAGGGAGGCAGCAGUGGGGCAUAUUGCACAAUGGGCGCAAGCCUGAUGGAGCCAUGCCGCGUGUAUGAAGCAGGCCUUCGGUUUGUAAAGUACUUUCAUCGGGGAGGCGGUAUCCGCAGAAGAAGCACCGGCUAACUCCGUGCCAGGCGCCGCGGUAAUUC
rnacentral:rRNA from 1 species